AGACGUCUACAUUAGAUACCCGGGUAGUCCCAGCCGUAAACUAUGCGCGUUAGGUGUAUCGGUGACCACGAGUUACCGGGGUGCCGAAGGGAAACCGUGAAACGUGCCGCCUGGGAAGUACGGUCGCAAGGCUGAAACUUAAAGGAAUUGGCGGGGAGCACCACAACGGGUGGAGCCUGCGGUUUAAUUGGACUCAACGCCGGGAAGCUCACCGGAUAAGACAGCGGAAUGAUUGCCGGGCUGAAGACUCUGCAUGACUAGCUG
rnacentral:rRNA from 1 species